rnacentral:rRNA from 1 species
AUUGAACGCUGGCGGCAUGCCUUACACAUGCAAGUCGAACGAUGAAGUCUAGCUUGCUAGACGGAUUAGUGGCGAACGGGUGAGUAAUAUAUCGGAACGUAUCCAUUAAUGGGGGAUAACUAGUCGAAAGAUUGGCUAAUACCGCAUACGUCCUACGGGAGAAAGCUAGGGACCAUCGGGCCUGGCGUUAAUGGAGCGGCCGAUAUCUGAUUAACUAGUUGGUGAGGUAAAGGCUCACCAAGGCGACGAUCAGUAGCUGGUCUGAGAGGACGACCGGCCACACUGGAACUGAGGCACGGUCCAGACUCCUACGGGAAGCAGCAGUGGGAAAUUUUGAACAAUGGGCGCAAGCCUGAACCAGCCAUUCCGAGUGAGUGAAGAAGGACUUCGGGUUGUAAAGCUCUUUUGCAAGCGAAGAAAACUUACCCUCUAACAUAGGGUGAGGAUGACGGUAACUUGAUAAGAAGCACCGGCUAACUACGUGCCAGCCGCCGCCGUAAGAC